rnacentral:rRNA from 1 species
GAUGAACGCUGGCGGCGUGCCUAAUACAUGCAAGUCGAGCGAACAGAUAAGGAGCUUGCUCCUUUGACGUUAGCGGCGGACGGGUGAGUAACACGUGGAUAACCUACCUAUAAGACUGGGGUAACUUCGGGAAACCGGAGCUAAUACCGGAUAACAUAUUGAACCGCAUGGUUCAAUAGUGAAAGGCGGCUUUGCUGUCACUUAUAGAUGGAUCCGCGCCGUAUUAGCUAGUUGGUAAGGUAACGGCUUACCAAGGCAACGAUACGUAGCCGACCUGAGAGGGUGAUCGGCCACACUGGAACUGAGACACGGUCCAGACUCCUACGGGAGGCAGCAGUAGGGAAUCUUCCGCAAUGGGCGAAAGCCUGACGGAGCAACGCCGCGUGAGUGAUGAAGGUCUUCGGAUCGUAAAACUCUGUUAUCAGGGAAGAACAAAUGUGUAAGUAACUGUGCACAUCUUGACGGUACCUGAUCAGAAAGCCACGGCUAACUACGUG